GACAGAGGGUGCAAACGUUGUUCGGAUUUACUGGGCGUAAAGCGCACGUAGGCGGACUGUUAAGUCAGGGGUGAAAUCCUGGAGCUCAACUCCAGAACUGCCUUUGAUACUGAUGGUCUCGAGUCCGGAAGAGGUGAGUGGAAUUCCGAGUGUAGAGGUGAAAUUCGUAGAUAUUCGGAGGAACACCAGUGGCGAAGGCGGCUCACUGGUCCGGUACUGACGCUGAGGUGCGAAAGCGUGGGGAGCAAACAGG
rnacentral:rRNA from 1 species